ensembl:lncRNA
CCAAAUGUGGGGCAGGGAUGAUCUAUAGGGUGCAUCUGUGGGACAGAAAUUCAGGAUCUGUGGGGCAGGGAUGGAUCUAUGGGGCAGAACCUAUGGGGUAAAUCUAUGGGGCAGGGAUGGAUCUAUGGGUCACACAAAAUCUAUGGGGCAGGGAUUCAGGAUCUAUGGGGCAGGGAUGGAUCUAUGGGGCAGGGAUUCAGGAUUUAUGGGGCACAGGGGAUCUAUGGGGCAGAUCUAUGGGGCAGGGAUGGAUCUAUGGGGUGAAUCUAUGGGUCAGGGAUGAUCUAUGGGGUGAAUCCAUGGGGCACACAGGAUCUAUGGGUCACAGGGGAUCUAUGGGUCAGGAUUUACCAUUCCAUGGGGUGUUUCAGUGUUGGUGGUUCCCUCUGUGCAAUGUGAUAGAGGGCGCUGUGGGGCAGGGAUGGAUCUAUGGGGUGAAUCUAUGGGGCAGGGAUGAUCUAUGGGUCACACAGGAUCUAUGGGGUGAAUCUAUAGGUCACACAGGAUCUAUGGGGAAGAAACUCAGGAUCUAUGGGUCAGGAUUUACCAUUCCUGUGGGUAUUUCAACGUUGGAGGUUCCCUCUGUGCAAUGUGAUAGAGGGCGCUGUGGGGCAGGGAUGGUCUAUAGGAUAAAUCUAUGGGUCACACAGGAUCUAUGGGGCAGAUCUAUGGGGCAGCACUGACCAUUCCAUGGGGUGUUUCAAUGUUGGUGGUUACCUCUGUGCAAUGUGAUAGAGGGCGCUGUGGGGCACGGAUGGAUCUAUGGGGCAGGGAUUCAGGAUCUAUGGGUCACACAGGAUCUAUAGGGCAGAUCUAUGGGGCAGGAAUUCAGGAUCUAUGGGUCAGGAUUUACCAUUCCUGUGGGUAUUUUAACGUCGGUGGUUCUCUCUGUGCAAUGUGAUAGAGAGCGCUGUGGGGCAGGGAUGGAUCUAUGGGGUAAAUCUAUGGGGCAGGAAUGAAUCUAUAGGGUAAAUCUAUGGGGCAGAUCUAUGGGUCAGGAUUUACCAUUCCUGUGGGUAUUUCAAUGUCGGUGGCUCUCUCUGUGCAAUGUGAUAGAGGGCGCUGUGGGGCAGGGAUGGAUCUAUGGGGCACACAGGGAUGGAUCUAUAAGGCAGAUCUAUGGGUCACACAGGAUCUAUGGGGCACAGGGGAUCUAUGGGGCAGGAUUUCAGAUCUAUGGGUCAGCCCCACACCUGUGGAUGACCCCCAGUCCGUGCAGGUACCCCAGGCCCUGCAGGGAUGGAUCCAUGGGUCAGACAGGAUCUAUGGGUCAGGAUUUCAGGAUCUAUGGGGCAGGAUUUCAGAUCUAUGGGUCAGGAUUUCAGGAUCUAUGGGGUACAAGGAUGAUCUAUGGGUCAGAUCUAUGGGUCAGGAUUUCAGGAUCUAUGGGUCACACCUGUGUAUGACCCCCAGUCCGUGCAGGUACCCCAGCCCCUGCAGGGAUGGAUCUAUGGGUCAGACAGGAUCUAUGGGUCNGACAGGAUCUAUGGGUCAGAUCUAUGGGUCACACCUGUGUAUGACCCCCAGUCCGUGCAGGUACCCCAGCCCCUGCAGGGAUGGAUCUAUGGGUCUGAUCUAUGGGUCAGACAGGAUCUAUGGGUCACACAGACAGGAUCCAUGGGGCAGGAUUUCAGAUCUAUGGGUCAGACCUGUGAAUGGCCCCCAAGCCGUGCAGGUACCCCAGCCCCUGCAGGGAUGGAUCCAUGGGUCAGAUCUAUAGGUCAGACAGUAUCUAUGGGUCAGAUCUAUGGGUCAGCCCCACACCUGUGGAUGACCCCCAGUCCGUGCAGGUACCCCAGCCCCUGCAGGGAUGGAUCUAUGGGGCAGACACAAUCUAUGGGUCAGACAGGAUCUAUGGGUCAGACAGGAUCUAUGUGGCACACACACAGGAUCUAUGGGGCACAGGGAUGAUCUAUGGGGCAGCCCCACACCUGUGGAUGACCCCCAAUCCGUGCAGGUACCCCAGCCCCUGCAGGGAUGGAUCUAUGGGGCACAGAGAUGAAUCUAUGGGGCAGGAUCUCAGAUCUAUGGGUCACACAGGCUCUAUGGGGCACACAGACAGGAUCUAUGGGUCAGCCCCACACCUGUGAAUGACCCCCAGUCCGUGCAGGUACCCCAGCCCCUGCAGGGAUGGAUCUAUGGGGCAGACAGUCAGGAUCUAUAGAGCAGAUCUAUGGGUCAGGAUUUCAGGAUCUAUGGGGCACAGGGAUGAUCUAUGGGGCACAGGGAUGAUCUAUGGGGCAGCCCCACACCUGUGGAUGACCCCCAGUCCGUGCAGGUACCCCAGCCCCUGCAGGGAUGGAUCUAUAGGGCACAGGGACAGAUCUAUGGAUCAGGAUUUCAGGAUCUAUGGGUCACACAGGAUCUAUGGGUCAGGGAUGGAUCUAUGGGUCAGCCCCACACCUGUGUAUGACCCCCAGUCCGUGCAGGUAGCCCAGCCCCUGCAGGGAUGGAUCCAUGGGGCAGGGUUUCAGGAUCUAUGGGUCAGCCCCACACCUGUGAAUGACCCCCAGUCCGUGCAGGUACCCCAGCCCCUGCAGGGAUGGAUCCAUGGGGCAGGAUUUCAGGAUCUAUGGGUCAGACACAAUCUAUGGGUCACACAGACAGGAUCUAUGGGGCAGAUCUAUGGGUCAGGGAUGGAUCUAUGGGUCAGAUCUAUGGGUCACACCUGUGAAUGACCCCCAUUGCGUGCAGGUAGCCCAGGCCCUGCAGGGCNUUUC